UUGGCUAUGCUAAUGUUAUUCUAGCAGUGUUUUUAUUUAUUUUUGUAUUUAAUAUUUAUAAUAUGUAUUUAUUAUUUUCUCGAAAAAUGAAAGUGUGAACAUUUUUCUAAGAAAUCAAAUUGAGAUUACAGUAAAGAAUUAACAGAAGCUCUUCUACGACCAGUCAUCAAGUUAUAUAUACUAUGUGUGACGUCGGUGACGUCUGUGAUCGGGAUAUUUGGGCAACGGGUCCGUGUGAACCGUGUGAACAAACAAUGACGUUUUGGCAACGGUGUGCUGAUAUCAUCCUUAGAAUCUUGCAAAGUAGAAGAGUUGGCAAAUGUAGCGAAUUCUUUGGAUUUUAUUGUAUAACAUUGUCUUGUGUCGUAGGUUUUUUCCUUUCGCUUCUUCUUCUGUUCUAUUGCAUCACCGGUCUUAUCAACCGCGGUCCAUUGCCCCUAUAUUACCGCUUUAAAGAAUAUUCGAUAUGAAAUUUAAUCAUAAUUUACCUACAUGAAUGCUGUAUGGAAAAUUAAACCAUUUAAGUAUAUUAUUAAGUUCGGUGAUGGCGAUGACUGUGAUCAUGACCGCGACCCUUGCGGCCGCGCAUGCGCAGCCUGCUGCGGAGGAUGCGCCGAAAGCAUCACCAGGUGUACAAGUGGAACCUGCAGUGGCGCAAUAGGUGUAUGUGGCGGAGUCAUAUUCUGUACAAUCAUCUUUCUCGCUUUAUUUGGUUUUGUAAUUUAUUGCAUCGUUGAAUUUGCGAAACAACCUACAAAAUACAUUGCUCAAGUGAAAAAGAUAUUUGGUAAAUAACAAAUAGACCUACUUUUACCAUAACUUCUGCUGCAAUCUUGGAUUUUUAGGUACAUAAUAUCCGUAUGAAUCAUGGAUAUUAAAUAUGCGAUGGAAUGCGGUGUGGUUCGAUGAUUUUAAACAAUUGCACCGAACUUUGCAUUUGAUUUGAUGCGGUUUUUUGAAGAAUCUUACAAUUUUAGUAUCAUCGGUGAACGAAUCACUUUAAUGUACAAAGUAUUUCUCAAGAUAUAAUAAAAGAAUAAUGCACAUUUUAGGCGAUAUUUCGACUAGCCAAUAUAAAAAUACAAAUCGUGCAUUGUUACGAGGCUUCGUGCGUGCAUCGGCGCGAAAAGGAACUUUCCCAUAAAAUUUGAUAUCUAAUAAAACAAUCCAAGAGAGUAUCAAUUUAGAUUGAAAAGACGCAUAAUUUUAAUUAUAUGAAUUAUUACAUGAUUAUUUGGUCAAAAUAUUAAUAUGGAAUAGAGCAUAUUUUAUUAACAUUUUGACCAAAUAAUCGAAUGAAAUAUCAAAAUGAAUGGUGGUCAUAGAUUGAAAUAACUUGUAUGUUUAAACAUAUAUGUAUAUGGAAAAUCGUGAUUAAAUGAAAGUAAACUGCAAAGAAAGACAGUAGUCGUGUUUCCUUUUUGAUUUUUGUAAACUUUGCAAUUGAUUUGAUGCUUUUUUAAGUAAAGUAUGAAAAAUUGGCUUUAAAAAGUUUUAUACUGUAUUUUUGUGUUAUACCUAUAUCUCUAUUCUUACUCAUAAGUCUAUUUUGGAAUGAAAUCACAUUUUGAAAGUUUUCUUUUAACAAUUUGUUCUCCUCUGUUACUUAUUACGUCAAUAAAUAAUGUGAUAUUUAUUUUAAUUUUUUACUUUAUCUCAAAUACUAUUUCAUGUCUAAAUUAAUAACGUAAGCAAGAGACAGUGAUAGAGAGAGUCAUAAAAUUGUGUUACAUUCUUCGUGUCGCACGCUUGUUGAAUCUGGUUAUAUCUGGAUUUUCGUGUCGCACGCUUAUUGAAUCCGGUUAUAUCUGGUUAUAUUUGACUAUAUCCGGUUAUAUUAUGACCACCACGCGACUUGAUUGCCGAAUCGCUUGCAUGAUAUAUUUUUGUACAAUAUACUUUAAGGCUUGGAAUCAUCUAAACGUUAUCGCGGUUUCUUCCUCUGCCUUAUGACGUUGGAGACCUUGAUCCGCAUAUAGAUUUUCACAUUGCAGACAUCAGUCUCUCACAUAGAUCGUUAUUUUGUAACCGCAAGGUUCACUUUAUUUUCUAUUUAAUACAAAUGUAAUUUUAAUGUGAGAGAAGAAAUAAUGAUUGCCUGUGGCGUU